rnacentral:rRNA from 1 species
GGUCCCUACGGGACGCAGCAGUGAGGAAUAUUGGUCAAUGGCCGAGAGGCUGAACCAGCCAAGUCGCGUGAGGGAUGACGGCCCUACGGGUUGUAAACCUCUUUUGUCGGGGAGCAAGACCCGCCUCGUGCAGGCGGAGCGAGAGUACCCGAAGAAAAAGCAUCGGCUAACUCCGUGCCAGCAGCCGCGGUACUACGGAGGAUGCGAGCGUUAUCCGGAUUUAUCGGGUUUAAAGGGUGCGUAGGCGGUCUGUUACGUCAGCGGU